rnacentral:lncRNA from 1 species
AAAUUUGGUAUUAUCCAAACUUGAGGGACUGACAUAGCAAAUAUAAUUAAAAUUGAUUCAAUCCCUAUUUGUUUCAUAUUCGGCGGUCGGUGAGCAAAAAUAGAGAGAUCAAAAGGAAAACAGAGAAGAAAAGGCAGCUUAGCAGAUUUUGAUCAUAUGGCUAUAUCUUUACGGUCCAAGGUCUGAUCGUUGUGAAAUUUGGAUAGCAAGUGCACAACUCAUUGAGCUUCAAAUCUGUAUGGUUAAGAUCAAGAUCCGACAACUCAUCUGUGAUAUAUCACUACCAGAACAGCGACAUUGUUGGUGAGAUUUUUCCUUCCCGUUGGAUUUGGGUUUUAUUCCAAGAUCAUGUAUAUAUUAUUCUUUUAUUUCUCACAUAAGUUUGGUGUUUGCUCUCAUAAAUUUGCAUAACUAGUUAGAGUUUAGAGUGAGUGUUUUGUUCUUGAAUAUGGUAGUUAUUAAGAGCCCGUUUGAGCCCCAUUAUUUUUUAUUAUAAUGUUUUGGAUAGUGUUUUAUUUGAAAAAUGAGUGACUGAAAAGUUUUUGAUUUACGUGUAAUAUUAUUUUAUUACACGUAAUAUUAUUUUAAUUUAAUGUUUUGAACAGUGUUUUAUUUGAAAAAUGAGUGGUUGAAAAGUUUUUGAUUUACGUGUAAUAUUAUUUUAUUGAAUAUUGUGUGGUUAAAAGUAUGAAAGAGAAAAUUUUAAUUUAAUGUAACGAGAAAUAAUGAGGCUCAAACGAGGCUAAAUGUUUUUAUAGAUUUGUUGCAAGUCGAAAAAAUAAAACGAGAAAUUAAAUACUAUCUUCCCCUUUAUCCUUGUUUCUUGGCCUUUGCAUAUCCAGGAUACAAAUGGGUUAAGCUUUUUCUUUUUCUCUGUAAUAGAAUAUCCAUUUACAUUUAAUUUAUUAUAAUUCUUUAUUUGUGUCAACAAGGCCCUGUUUUAUAUGAUUUUCGUGAUGAAAGGGAAGGAAAAUAUUCAAGAAAACCUUUGUUUUUGAAUACAAGGGGAUAAACACGAGUAGGAAAAAAUGAAAAACCUAACCUCGGAUGAAAGUUUCAAAUUAAUGUAUCAUUUCCAUUUCGUCCUCGUUUUUUUGUAAAUGAGUCUAUUUGCUUCUUAGUUAUAGCUAAUACAUCUUGUUUUUCUUUAGUUUCUUAUCAAUAUAUGCUUUUACUCUAUGCUGUAAAAUAACAGUGUUAUUCUAUUGUUGCCAAUAUUUCUAUUUUCUGUUGCUUCUGCAGAUUUCACCUAAUAAUGGGCUUAACAACACGUAGAAGUUCGAGAGCGUCCAUAAUGGAUUUACCGGAGCUCAUCAUUUUAGAAAUUCUGCUAUAUCUGUCCAUUAAAGGGAUUGUAAUGUGCAAGUGUGUGUGCAAAACUUGGCAACAUCUAAUUUCUAACCCUCACUUUGCCAAGCAUCACUUUGCACAUUCAAAAGCUGGCAUUCUAAUCCGACCCUCGGAUGUUGGACGAAUUUCAAGAAUGCUUUACUUUAUGGAGCCAUCUGUAAUCAGUGUGAUUGAAGCUGGGCAGCAAGUAAACUUGAAGCCUGAUACCAAAUUGAAGACUCCUUUGCUUAAUGUUGACGCUCAAGCGAUUGCUUUCAUCGAGGGGAAUACUAAGAGGAAGCGAACUAUUAACCUUGUUACCAAGAAUCACAAGAUCAUUAUAGUAAAUUCGUGUAACGGCUUCCUUUGUUUGUUUGAGCGCUCCCAUAAUUAGGGGUGGGCGCGGGUCAGUUCGAUUCGGUUCUCUUUAGAAUCGAACCGAACCAAAAUUUUCGGGUAUCUAGUAAAUGGAACCGUCGGGUCCAAAUAUAAUUAUGCAUCUGUUCGGGUUCGGUUCCGUUCGAUUCUGUAC